AUAGGGCUUGAAAGGAUAAUCCUCCAGGAGCAAGUCGAUGUGUUGGAUAUACUCCACCAUGUAUUAUAAUUGCGAAUUAUGAUGUGAAGGAUAGACAAAUGUGACUGCUUUGCUCGUUGAACGGUCUUCUUCCUUGGUCCUGUCUACCCCAAUAUGAGGUUCUGGCUGGGCGAGGUGCAUAUGUUCCAGCAAGGGUAUGGAUGAUAAGCAAGUUACAGAUGCAUAGCUUUAGAAAUUCAUUAGUAGGCCUUUUUUUUAUGGUUAAUGGGAGGGAAAGAUUCCCCACCUGAUUUUCAUUUGAUGGGGCUCUGAAAAGCCUGAUUGUACAGCAAAAAGGGGUACAACAAGGUGGGGAACGAAACGAGUAAUCUCCACACUUUUUCCUUCUGAGGCUGAUACAUGCUUUACUUAUCUCUGAGUUACUGUGCUGCUGUUGUUUUAAUGUUGAUUUGAAUUUAUUUACCUUAACUGUUAGAACUCUGGAACAGGUAAGGUAUUUAAAUUGUCUUUUUUAUAUAGAGUAGAUUACUAAACUGAAUCACUGCAGUGAAACCUGUCCUGUGGCUUAGUAUAUCUGGUGUGAUUACUGCUAAACUUAAACAGUGAUGUCACUUUGUUUCAUUUAGGUGUUGGAUAUACUCCACCAUGUAUUAUAAAUUAUGAUGACAAUGAACGGAGAAAUGUGAUUGCUGUGCUCUUUGAACAGUAUGUCACGCCGUCUUCCUCCGUGCUGUCCACCCCAUGCUCGAGCGACAUGUGAUUCUGGCUGAUGGAGCUGUAUAUGGUGGUUUGGGUCAUUACGCAUUCUGCCAAUGGCGUGGAGGUGGCAGUGGCCGAUAUUGUGGUGGAACCAGCGAUGGAGUGCAUACAAUAGGUUUGUUGCUCCUUCUCUUGCCCUCAUCCUAGUUCCACUGAUGCUGCAGUUUGUGAUGCCAUGCCAUUAAGGUGACUGAUGGGUAUGGAUGAUAAUUGAUGCACGUUACAGAUGCAUAUGCUUAGACAUUAAUUAGCAGGCCUCAUAAUUUUAAGUGUUCAAAUUACAAGCGAUCUCCACACUUUUUUCCUUUUGAAGCUGAUACUUGAUUUGUCAUUUGUGUUUCUCUGAGUUACUUUGUAGAUGCACUAAACUAUUGUCCAUAGCAAUUGUUUUAAUAUUUAUUUGAAUCCAGUUACAUUAAAUAUUAGAACUCUAGAACGGGCAUGGUAUUUAAAUUGUCUUUUUUUAGAGUAAAUUGUAUCACUACAGUAAACUGCCCUGUGGCUUAUUAUAUCUGGUGUGAUUGAGCAAAUAACCGUAUUUUUUUAUUUAGUUUCAGAAAGGAUACUAGAAAGGAUACUUCAGUGAGUUAUGAAAAGUUCAUACUUCAUAAUCUCAUUGCAGUUUUCUUGCUUUUAGUCUAGCAAGAAUGACAUGUCUGUCUGAUCGCAUAAAAGAAUGGCAUGCCUGUCAACUUAAAGCAAACAUGAUACCUAUUUUCAUUUCCAUUACAGAUGCCUUUUCUUUAAUGUUAGUGUAAUGGUUGGUCACACAAAAGAUGAAUUUCGGGUACCAUUGCUUUGUCAAUAACAGGAGACAAUAACAUUAAAUUGGCAACACUAGCUGUGUUAAUUUAAGGAGGUGGCCUCCAAUCAGAGAAGUUCAAUGUUGGUGGCCGAGAGAAGCUAAUGUGUAUGUUUUUAAUGUAGUUUGGGCACAAAACCUCUUCGAUCCUGGUUGUACUUUGAGGUGAUAGUAGGAUUUGUUUACCUGUAGACAUUUCUUAUUCGUUCUUUCUUAGAGUAAUACUUGUCUUCGGCAAGUCCUUUGACUCCUAGCUGACUGAUCAUGGAUGAACCGGCGCAGCGGCGCUGAUAUCCUUUUGACACAGAUGCUGAAUAUUGGCUGCAGUUCCUGUUCUCUCCAAAAUCAAUAUUCUACUCUGUUUUCUGUUUUCCCAUCAGAUCCUUAUCUGUUGUAUUUCUAUUAAUCUUGCAACCAUCUAGUCCUUAAAUGCUUCUCCAUCAUGGCAGGAGGCAAUAUUGGAAUACACAAUAACCCUUGUAAAAGUUUGUCAGGACCUAUAGUUAUUGAAGGAACAACAAAACCGUGCAUCUAUCAAUGUGAUAAAAAUCUCAUGCAGGUUGUAUGUGUGAGUUGUGACAUAUUUUUCCAACCAUGAAGCAUGAAGCGUUGAUAUCAGUUCUUAAAAUUUAAGAUCCAGUCCCGAAUCCCGAUGCUUGGGAUGCCAUGAUGAAUACCUGGGAAACCCUAUCAUGCAAGAGGAAAGCACAGCUACCCAAGUGAAAAAAAAGGUCUCUACAUCACAUGCUGUGGAGGGAAAGGACCAUGAAGAUAAGGUGCAAGGAGACACCCAGGACCAAGAAAUGCAUGUUUCAAAGGGUACCGUGCCAUCUGGGAGGCAACCAUCUCCAGGCGUUGUCCAUGGUGUUAGCGCUGAGAUUGAACCCAGUGAUCAAAGGAAGCCCCGCGCAAAUUCAGAAGCUCCAACCAAGCUGCUUGGCCUUGUCGUUGCGCAGACACCAAGAUCGGAGCAGUUUAUCAAGGAGCUGGAAAAUGAAGGCGCACUUGUGUUUGCUGUGAAGGGGUCGGUGAAGCCGGGUCCUUCCGGGCUGUAGGCCUCCAAUGCUGUGGGGUCAGAAAACUAACCCGCGACAAUGGCGCUCCUCCGGCUUCUGAAGCAUAGCUGACCGUAGUUAACCCUGUAGGAGUGUGUGAUGUACCAAACUGAAGCUCGACUGGAGCUUGUUCAAUAUGUCGCUGUUGAAAAACUCAAGAUGGUACUGAUCAAAGUCUAGAAAAAUGAGGUUUCUUUAUGACAUGCGCAUUGCUUCUCAUUCUGUACUGCGUGCUGUUCUCUGCUAGCUCCGAGUACAGAUUAUCUCGAAUGCAAAUGCUGUACGAGACUGUAUGUUGCAAGCUCUGAAAUUCUGAGCAUGUUGAU